UACGUAGGGUGCAAGCAUUAAUCGGAUUUAUUGGGCGUAAAGGACGCGUAGGCGGGCUGUUAAGUCAGAUGUGAAAGCCCGGAGCUCAACUCCGGAACAGCAUUUGAAACUAACGAUCUAGAGGGUAGACGGAGAAAACGGAAUUCCACAAGUAGCGGUGAAAUGCGUAGAUAUGUGGAAGAACACCAGUGGCGAAGGCGGUUUUCUAGUUUAUACCUGACGCUGAUGCGUGAAAGCAAGGGGAGCAAACAGG
rnacentral:rRNA from 1 species